AGGUUUAUCCAUACCCGUUAAGCUUCAACGCCACAAACUCCAACACCUCAUAAUCUUCUUCUGUCAUCCUCCAUUAAAAAACAUUAUAUUUUCUGAUGAAUCAUCCUCAACCAUCACCAGCUUCCCAUUCUUUUACUCUAAAUAAAUACUUAAUCAACUUUCCCUUCUUUUACUUUACACCUUUUGAGUUGUUAGAACUAACCCACUUGCUCAAUAUUAGUAAUUAAUUAAUGGACAAGCUUAGGAAGUCCUUUAAAUCUCUUUACACUUCAAACUCUGAAGAAGAACGCCAAGUUCUCUUGACAGAAAAAAAAAUGAGUCCUUCACAAUCCACAUCCCCAGCAAUGGAUACAUCCGACGCUAGGGACGUUAUAGUCAAAGUUAACACCAGAGAGACCCCAAAAAACACUGAACUUUCCUCUUCUUCCAAGUCCCAGUUCAGUAACAAUGGAGACAGUAAAACUAGUGGUAAAACAUGGAGAGAUUCCAGUUACGAUUUCACCAACGAUGAGGUUAUGAAAGCGCAAUUCGACUUUGUAACGGAGUCGCCAUUAUCCAGAGUGGAAGAGAGUCCCACGAGGGAUGUUAAGGUUUCGUUUAACGACAAUCUUAACGAACCAAAACGCCGCCGUUCCAGUGCUAGUGGGGUGGCUGGAGAGGAAGUUUUGUUAUGCACUUCCAGCAGCUCUUCAUCCAGGAGGAAAUCGAGUGUUUUGACAACUAGGACAAAAUCAAGGCUACUGGACCCACCUGACCAAGAUCAUAAGUCUCAGAAGAUGACAAUGAAAUCUGGGUUUUUGGGAAAAGGCAGUGAAAUUGAUGAAGAGGAUCCUUUUUGGGAUGAAGAUUUACCUGAGCAAUAUAAGAAGAUGAAGUUUAGUCCAUUAAGUGUUCUUCAGUUGCUAAGUUUGAUUUUGAUUAUUGCUGCAUUUGUUUCUAGUUUAGCGAUUCCAGUAUUAAGGGAAAAGAGGGUUUUUGAGCUUGAAUUAUGGAAAUGGGAGUUAAUGGUUUUGGUGUUGAUUUCUGGAAGAUUGGUUUCUGGAUGGUUGAUUAGGUUGGUGGUGUAUUUCAUUGAGCGUAAUUUCUUGUGGCGAAAACGGGUUUUGUAUUUCGUUUAUGGAUUGAGGAAUGCUGUACAGAACUGUAUUUGGUUGAGUUUAGUGUUGAUUGCAUGGCAAUCUAUUUUUGAUAAGAAAGUUGAGAGGGUGGCCCAUGGGAAGGUGUUACCUUAUGUAUCUCGUCUUUGGGUGUGUCUUUUGGUAGGUACAUUCAUUUGGCUGCUGAAAACUCUACUUGUAAAGGUGCUGGCUAUGUCAUUUCAUGUUAACGCGUUUUUUGAUCGGAUUCAAGAGUCUCUGUUUAAUCAAUAUGUGAUUGAGACCUUGUCUGGGCCACCAAUUGUUGAGAUUGAGCACGAACAAGAAGAGGAGGAGAAAGUUAUGGCGGAGGUGCAGAAGCUUCAGAAUGCUGGGGCUACAUUACCUGCUGAUCUCAAGGCGGCCAUAUUACACAACAAGAGGCCUGUUGGAAAGAGCCCACCAUCCGCUACCACCAGGAGUCCUGUUUUCUCCAGUGUCAUGACUAAGAAAGAAGAGGGGGGCAUCACUAUAGAUCAUCUGCAUAGGCUGAAUCACAAGAACAUUUCAGCUUGGAAUAUGAAAAGAUUGACCAACAUUGUUAGGAAAGGGGUGUUGUCAACUCUGCAUGAUCAGCUACAGCAUUCAACAGAUGAGGAGGAUGAAUCUGUAGAGAUCACAAGUGAAAAACAGGCUAAAGUUGCAGCCAGGAAGCUAUUUAACAAUGUGGCUAAGCCUGGCUCCAAGUUCAUCUAUCUGGAGGAUUUGAUGCGUUUUAUGAGAGAAGACGAGUCUCUGAAAACAAUACACCUCUUUGAAGGUGGAACUGAAGCCAAAGGUGUCAGUAAACGGGCUUUAAAAAAUUGGGUGGUGAAUGCAUUUAGAGAACGAAGAGCUCUUGCUUUGUCUUUGAAUGAUACAAAGACUGCUGUGAGGAAACUGCAUCAGAUGUUGAAUGUUCUUGUGGCAGUAAUCAUAUUGGUUAUCUGGCUCCUUAUACUGAGAGUUGCCACUACACAUUUCUUGGUCUUAAUGAGUUCCCAAGUUCUUCUGGUGGUAUUCAUGUUUGGAAACGCAGCCAAAACAACCUUUGAGGCAAUCAUAUUUUUAUUUGUGAUGCACCCAUUUGAUGUAGGUGAUCGUCUUGAAGUCGAAGGAGUUCAGAUGAUAGUUGAAGAGAUGAAUAUAUUGACGACAGUUUUCCUGAGAUAUGAUAACCAGAAGAUCAUUUAUCCAAACAGUGUCUUGUCUACAAAGCCCAUAAGUAAUUACUAUCGCAGUCCUCACAUGGGAGAUGCAAUUGAUUUCUGUAUUCAUAUUUCCACUCCUAUGGAAAAGAUUGCUACAAUGAAGGAGAAAAUCACAAGGUUCACCAGAUAGUGUGAAAAUAUUUACAUUGUCAAUAGAUAUUUUAACUCAUGGUGAAGAAAGCACCUCAGGAGGCUGGCUUGGAAGUGAGACUUGGUACCCAGGCCAUCCAGAAGAAAAGUAGUUUCAAGUACCUUGGGUCUAUUCUGCAAAGCAGUGGGGAGAUUGACGAUUAUGUCACACAUCGUAUUGGGGUAGGGUGGAUGAAAUAGAGGCUUGCUUCCGGAGUGCUAUGUGACAAGAAGGUGCCACCAAAACUUAAGGGCAAGUUCUACAAAGUGGUGGUUAGACCGACUAUGUUGUAUGGGGCGGAGUGUUGGCCAGUUAAGAUCUCUCACGUUCAAAAGAUGAAAGUUGCCGAGAUGAGAAUGUUAAGAUGGAUGUGUGGCCACACUAGGAGUGACAGGAUUAGGAAUGAGCAUAUUCGGGAUAAGGUGGGGGUGACCUCGGUGGAAGACAAGAUGCGAGAAGCGAGAUUGAGAUGGUUUGAGCAUGUGAAGAGGUGAGACACAGAUUCCCCAGUGCGGAGGUGUGAGAGGUUGGCCAUGGACGGUUUCAGACGAGGUAGGGGUAGGCCGAAGAAGUAUUGGGGAGAGGUAAUUAGACACGACAUGGCGCAACUACAGCUUACCGAAGACAUGACCUUAGAUAGGAGGGUUUGAAGGACCCAAAUUAGGGUAGAAGGCUAGUAGAUAGUCUCGUUUUCCGUUUUUAUUAGUAGUCGCAUUAUCGCAAUAUAAUUUCUUCUGCUCAGAUUUCUGCUAUUAUCUGUUAUUUCUUGUGCUUUGAUUAUCCUGUGUUAUCUGUGUCGCUUGCAUUAUUCAUUUCAUAUCGCUUUGAUUCUCUUAACCUUAUCUGACUUCUUUUUAUGCUUUUAUUGAGCCGAGGGUCUUUCGGAAACAGCCGUCCUACCUUGGUAGGAGUAAGGUCUGCGUACACUCUACCCUCCCCAGACCCCACGAUGUGGGAUUUCACUGGGUUGUUGUUGUUGUUGUUGUUGUUGUUGGUGAAGAAGGCAUGUUGACAACAAGAGUGAUCAUUGGUAUCCAGCUCCAUUAAUUGUCAUGAGGGAUGUGGAAGAUUUGAACAGAAUAAAAUGGUCAGUGUGGCUUUCACAUACAAUGAAUCACCAAGAUAUGGGGGAGAGAUGGUCAA